GACAGCAGUAGCCGCGGGAAAACGCAGGUGGCAAGCGUUGUCCGGAAUUAUUGGGCGUAAAGGGCUCGCAGGCGGUUUCUUAAGUCUGAUGUGAAAGCCCCCGGCUCAACCGGGGAGGGUCAUUGGAAACUGGGAAACUUGAGUGCAGAAGAGGAGAGUGGAAUUCCACGUGUAGCGGUGAAAUGCGUAGAGAUGUGGAGGAACACCAGGGCGAAGGCGACUCUCUGGUCUGUAGCUGACGCUGAGGAGCGAAAGCGUGGGGAGCGAACAGGAUUAGAUACCCCCGUAGUCCCUGUCUCUUAUACA
rnacentral:rRNA from 1 species